AGAGUUUGAUCAUGGCUCAGAUUGAACGCUGGCGGCAUGCCUUACACAUGCAAGUCGAACGGCAGCGCGGGGGCAACCCUGGCGGCGAGUGGCGAACGGGUGAGUAAUACAUCGGAACGUGUCCUGGAGUGGGGGAUAGCCCGGCGAAAGCCGGAUUAAUACCGCAUACGAUCUCUGGAUGAAAGCGGGGGACCGAAAGGCCUCGCGCUCAAGGGGCGGCCGAUGGCAGAUUAGCUAGUUGGUGGGGUAAAGGCCUACCAAGGCGACGAUCUGUAGCUGGUCUGAGAGGACGACCAGCCACACUGGGACUGAGACACGGCCCAGACUCCUACGGGAGGCAGCAGUGGGGAAUUUUGGACAAUGGGGGCAACCCUGAUCCAGCAAUGCCGCGUGUGUGAAGAAGGCCUUCGGGUUGUAAAGCACUUUUGUCCGGAAAGAAAACCGCUUCUCUAAUACAGAGGUGGGAUGACGGUACCGGAAGAAUAAGCACCGGCUAACUACGUGCCAGCAGCCGCGGUAAUACGUAGGGUGCGAGCGUUAAUCGGAAUUACUGGGCGUAAAGCGUGCGCAGGCGGUUCGCUAAGACCGAUGUGAAAUCCCCGGGCUUAACCUGGGAACUGCAUUGGUGACUGGCGGGCUAGAGUAUGGCAGAGGGGGGUAGAAUUCCACGUAGCAGUGAAAUGCGUAGAGAUGUGGAGGAAUACCGAUGGCGAAGGCAGCCCCCUGGGCCAAUACUGACGCUCAUGCACGAAAGCGUGGGGAGCAAACAGGAUUAGAUACCCUAGUAGUCC
rnacentral:rRNA from 1 species